UUAGCCAGUCGGCUAAUUUUCAACUGUAAUCCUAGUUGCAUGCAUUGUCUUUAUGGUGGGAAGAAACCGGAGCACCCGGAGGAAACCCACGCAAGCACGGGGAGAACAUGCAAAGGCCUGGGACGACCUGGGUUCGAACCCAGACCCUUCUUGCUGUGAGGCAGAAGUGCUAACCACAGAGCCACCGAGCUGUCUAAUGUCCA